rnacentral:rRNA from 1 species
AUUGAACGCUGGCGGCAGGCCUAACACAUGCAAGUCGAGCGGAGCGGCGGACGGGGGAGUAAUGCCUAGGAAUCUGCCUGGUCGUGGGGGAUAACGUCCGGAAACGGGCGCUAAUACCGCAUACUCUCAGAUCAGCCUAGGUCGGAUUAGCUAGUUGGUGGGGUAAAGGCCUCCCAAGGCGACGAUCCCUAGCUGGUCUGAGAGGAUGACCAGCCACACUGGAACUGAGACACGGUCCAGACGCCUACGGGAGGCAGCAGUGGGGAAUAGUGCACAAUGGGCGCAAGCCUGAUGCAGCCAUGCCGCGUGUAUGAAGAAGGCCUUCGGGUUGUAAAGUACUUUCAGCGUGGAGGCGUUACCCGCAGAAGAAGCACCGGCUAACUCCGUGCCAGCAGCCGCGGUAAUUC